rnacentral:misc_RNA from 1 species
AUUCAAGUCCUGUUCCGUGAAAACUGAUUCACUCAAUGGCUUCAAAAAGGAGGAGGAAAACGGCUGUUUCGUAAUUUUAGAAGCGAGAGAAGACGUUGUGACGACGCAUUGCGAGCGGAUGGAAAAGUCAGGGUCGCGGAGGCGACGCACGACGUAGGAAAGGAUUCUGGUGAGGAAAGAAGAUAGAGAGUUGGAAUGGAGAACGGCGAGGGUGGAGAGGAGGUGAAGACACUGCUUGCGGACCAGACGCUUGUCGGUGGAGUCGAUGGAAAGUAAACAUGAGAUGAAGGUAGGAAGGCUCGUAUUAUCCAGUGUCCCGGCAAUGGACUCUAGCUCGGUGGCUGCAAGGUUGUAGGUGUCCCGGUCUGAUAGUUUGGUGAUCAACGUUAGCACUUUCAGCUUGAGGUUUUGGGCCAUCUUUCUCCCUUUUGUUUGAGUGGCGCAAUGGAGAUUAACGGUGGUUGGGCGGUGGCGUUCGCGGUGGCGGGAUUAGUGGCGACAUUGCCGGUGAUAAUUUGGUUGGGCGGGGAGUGGUGUCUGUAUGACUGUUAGCUUUUUAAAGUAGAGAGAUGGCCAUGGGGAGUUGAG